CUGAAGUCUUUAUGAAGUUAUUGAGCCCCCUCCCAUGGCUGCAGUUUGGUCUCUCACAGAAGUUAUUUUGAGCCAUCUUGCUGUUCCCAUCUGCAUUUUGAAGCCAAACCCCCUGUGACCUGGGGCAGAAGAUCAUGACUGAUCAGUGGUGGCUUCCCAGGAUGAGACACAUCCCUAAGGUCAACAUCUGCACACAAGCAGCAACAUGGCGGUUCCCUCAACCACCAGCAAUGCCUUGUCCCAGGACUCAGUUCAAGUGUAAUGGUGCAAUCCCAGAGGGAAUCAUCACCUCCCAGCACAGAGGGCCGUGGGACUGGACUCAGUGAGGGCUCUGCCAACACCUCUGCUGCUGCUGUUACUCACACAGCCAGAAAAUCUGCCCAAAUACAUGCCAAAAACACACAGGAAAUGCCCAACCUGUCGCUGACAUUGUGCCUACAUUGGGACACGUACAGCAGGUUCAUUC
ensembl:lncRNA